GGAGUUGUAGCUCAGUGGUAGAGCACUUGCCUAGCAUGUGUGAGGCCCUGGGUUCAAUCCCCAGCACUACA
rnacentral:tRNA from 1 species